AAGAAAAGGAAAGAAGAAGAAUGAGGAAAGAAAGACAAAGAGUUUACAUAUCUGUGAAGGUUGAAUCAACUCCAUCUUGGAUGCUAAUCUGCCAUGUUAGCUUCUGAUUAACCCGUUUUGGGAAAGCCUCUGAGAUUUCCAGUUUAUCUGUUGUUCGUCGUGUAAGAGGACUGUACUUCCUGCAAAUCCUGCCCUCAGGGCAAUUUCCUACCUAUUCUCUGUGAAACAUGUAUGCCUCUCCCCUAGAGUAUAUAAUCUCUGGGUCUGGAGGCUAUUGGUGCCGCAGGGAUCCACCAUCUUGUCUUUCCACCACCCAAGACACAGGCAUGGUUUCUGUUCCUAAGCCCCUAUUAAAUAUUUCUUCCUAAGAAA